CUGAUCCAGCAUGCCGCGUGAGUGAAGAAGGCCUUCGGGUUGUAAAGCUCUUUUGUCAGGGAAGAAACGGUCUCGGCUAAUAUCCGGGGCUAAUGACGGUACCUGAAGAAUAAGCACCGGCUAACUACGUGCCAGCAGCCGCGGUAAUACGUAGGGUGCAAGCGUUAAUCGGAAUUACUGGGCGUAAAGCGUGCGCAGGCGGUUUUGUAAGUCUGACGUGAAAUCCCCGGGCUCAACCUGGGAAUUGCGUUGGAGACUGCAAGGCUGGAGUCUGGCAGAGGGGGGUAGAAUUCCACGUGUAGCAGUGAAAUGCGUAGAGAUGUGGAGGAACACCGAUGGCGAAGGCAGCCCCCUGGGUCAAGACUGACGCUCAUGCACGAAAGCGUGGGGAGCAAACAGGAUUAGAUACCCUGGUAGUCCACGCCCUAAACGAUGUCUACUAGUUGUCGGGUUUUAAUUAACUUGGUAACGCAGCUAACGCGUGAAGUAGACCGCCUGGGGAGUACGG
rnacentral:rRNA from 1 species